CAAUUAACUGUAAUUAAAGUACCUGACGCUCUUUAAGUAGAUCUGUAACAAAGUAUAAUGGGACGAAAGUUGAUCUGAGGCAUAAACAGUUGUGUG